rnacentral:rRNA from 1 species
UGCNGGUUCUAUUUUGUUGGUUUCUAGGACCGCCGUAAUGAUUAAUAGGGACAGUCGGGGGCAUCAGUAUUCAAUUGUCAGAGGUGAAAUUCUUGGAUUUAUUGAAGACUAACUACUGCGAAAGCAUUUGUCAAGGAUGUUUUCAUUAAUCAGGAACGAAAGUUAGGGGAUCGAAGACGAUCAGAUACCGUCGUAGUCUUAACCAUAAACUAUGCCGACUAGGGAUCGGACGAUGUUAUUUUUUGACUCGUUCGGCACCUUACGAGAAAUCAAAGUGCUUGGGCUCCAGGGGGAGUAUGGUCGCAAGGCUGAAACUUAAAGAAAUUGACGGAAGGGCACCACCAGGGGUGGAGCCUGCGGCUUAAUUUGACUCAACACGGGGAAACUCACCAGGUCCAGACACAAUGAGGAUUGACAGAUUGAGAGCUCUUUCUUGAUUUUGUGGGUGGUGGUGCAUGGCCGUUCUUAGUUGGUGAAGUGAUUUGUCUGCUUAAUUGCGAUAACGAACGAGACCUUAACCUGCUAAAUAGCCCGUAUUGCUUUGGCAGUACGCUGGCUUCUUAGAGGGACUUUCGGCUCAAGCCGAAGGAAGUUUGAGGCAAUAACAGGUCUGUGAUGCCCUUAGAUGUCCUGGGCUGCACGCGCGUUACACUGACGGAGCCAGCGAGUACUCCCUUGUCCGAAAGGUCCGGGUAAUCUUGUUAAACUCCCGUCGUGCUGGGGAUAGCGCAUUGCAAU